rnacentral:rRNA from 1 species
UACGUAGGCAGCGAGCGUUGUUCGGAGUUACUGGGCGUAAAGGGUGUGUAGGCGGUUUUUUAAGUUUGGUGUGAAAUCUCCCGGCUCAACUGGGAGGGUGCGGCGAAUACUGAGAUGCUGGAGUGCCGGAGAGGUAAGCGGAAUUCCUGGUGUAGCGGUGAAAUGACGUAGAUAUCAGGAGGAACACCUGCGGUGUAGACGGCUUACUGGACGGUAACUGACGCUGAGGCACGAAAGCGUGGGUAGCAAACAGG